rnacentral:rRNA from 1 species
UGGGGAAUUUUGGACAAUGGGGGAAACCCUGAUCCAGCCAUCCCGCGUGUGCGAUGAAGGCCUUCGGGUUGUAAAGCACUUUUGGCAGGAAAGAAACGUCAUGGGUUAAUACCCCGUGAAACUGACGGUACCUGCAGAAUAAGCACCGGCUAACUACGUGCCAGCAGCCGCGGUAAUACGUAGGGUGCAAGCGUUAAUCGGAAUUACUGGGCGUAAAGCGUGCGCAGGCGGUUCGGAAAGAAAGAUGUGAAAUCCCAGAGCUCAACGUUGGAACUGCAUUUUUAACUACCGGGCUAGAGUGUGUCAGAGGGAGGUGGAAUUCCGCGUGUAGCAGUGACAUGCGUAGAUAUGCGGAGGAACACCGAUGGCGAAGGCAGCCUCCUGGGAUAACUCUGACGCUCAUGCACGAAAGCGUGGGGAGCAAACAGG